ACAUCGGUAGCACAGUGGCUAGUGCAGUCUGCCGGAAACAGAGAGACGCGUGUUCAAUUCCCGUCCGAUGUC
rfam:Nippostrongylus brasiliensis genome assembly, scaffold: NBR_scaffold0002818